CUAUCAAUCAGCAAGAUUUCUGGCUCGCAGGUGUCUUUUAUACAGGUAACGAGCUGACAGGACAACUGCACUGCAUCAAAAGGACGAUGGACAGGGCCAUGUACCAUCAAAUCUUGGGUGAGAACCUCCUUCCCUCAACCAGGGCAUUGAAAAUAGGUUGUGGAUGGGUAUUCUAGCAUGACAGUGACACAAAACACACAGCUAAGGCAGCAAAGGAGUGGUUUAAGAAGAAGCACAUUAAAGUCCUCGAGUGGCC